rnacentral:rRNA from 1 species
AUUGAACGCUGGCGGCAGGCCUAACACAUGCAAGUCGAGCGAGCCGCGGAAGGGUGAGUAAUGUAUGGGGAUCGGCCCGUUAGAGGGGGAUAACUAAUGGAAACGGUGGCUAAUAACGCAUACUAGAGGAUGAACCCAUAUGGGAUUAGUUUGUAGGUGGGGUAAAGGCUCACCUAGGCGAGGAUCUCUAGCUGGUCUGAGAGGAUGAACAGCCACACUGGAACUGAGACACGGCCCAGACUCCUAAGGGAGGCAUCAGGGGGGAAGAUUGCACAAUGGGCGCAAGCCUGAUGCAGCCAUGCCGCGUGUAUGAAGAAGGCCUUAGGGUUGUAAAGUACUUUCAGCGGGGAGGCGUUACCCGCAGAAGAAGCACCGGCUAACUCCGUGCCAGCAGCCGCGGUAAUAC